ensembl:lncRNA
UUCGAAGUGAGCUGAAGGGGUUAAAAAGACUCAGUGAGACAUAGAUUUGACACAUUGCCAUCAUGCAUAGACACACCCCAUGGAAUGAAACCUCAUGUCCUGUACCCACCUUAGGGGCAUUUAUUGCACCCUGGUGAGUCCUACUCUACUUCAGUCUGUGUAUUUUAUUUAAAAAUCAAUUCACAAUCCCUACUGGGUCAGCCUGCAGUCCAAGAAGCACUGUUGCAUUCCAACCCCAUUUUCCGGACAAGACCACAGACUCACUGGUCCAUAGGGCCACCCCACACCUCAGAAGCAUGAGGGUGACCUCACACCUUUUCCAAGCACAGGACAGAGACUUGAAGUACUUUUAGCUGUGCAAGAACUCUGGUUGAGCAAAAACCACACAUGCUUAUGCCUGCAAGCCUUAUUCUCAUUCUCAGCCAGGCCAGAGGAAAAGGAGGCAUCUCUGCUAAUCCUCCCACCCAGUUCCUGAGAAGAAAGCACUGGGACCCCUGGAAGCCACAUGCUAUGUUGGCCUGGCUGCUGCUCCCCAGUCCUCCUCGGGGUUAAAGGCCUGGUGCCCCCUCCCAUCACCUCCAGCCACACCUCUCCUGUCUUCAAAAGCCUAGAAGGCUAGUCCUUCCUCACUCUAAAGUGCUUUCAGAAAAAAUUCUGAAACAGUGUGUCUCAAACUGCUAUAAAGUUAUAAAGAUUUUUCACAAGAGAUCCCGUAGAUAUAUACAGAUAUUGGCAAUUAAGCAAGUGCUGUACAACAUACUACUUACCUUUGUGAAAUAUGAUGCACUCCGAUAGUUUCUAUUGUGAUUGCUAUGCUGUGCUAUGCUAUGCUAUGCUAUGCUAUGCUAUUCUUUUAAGAGCUCAUUAUAACUGACCAAGUGGAUUUCACAACUUUCUAAGGAAUCUAAGUCUCGGCUAAAAUACUCCAAAAAUUCCAGCAAAGACAAAAACUCAGGCCUAGAUUUGCCACCAGUGCCCUCUUCUGGGCAGCUUUAUUUUAAGUCGUGUCUAUUAACAUUGUUUAAUUGUCAUAAACAUGGUUUAAUUGUCAACAUCUGUGUGUGUGCACUGAGUCUCACCAGGAAAUAGAUGAUUUAUGUUGGUUACAACCUAAAAGAUUUAAGAAGCAAUGUUUAGAAAUGUUCUGAUGAAUAAAGGCUGAGCUGAAAGGGCAUUGUGUAUAUGUGUGUGUGUGUAAGAGAGAGAAAGGCUCUCAUUAGAGGUUGUACAGAUUUUUCUCUGCGAUCCCCUCUCUUCCUGCAAAUCAGCCAGAGGUGAGAUCUCAGGGACCUAUCCCUGCCUCCCCAAAGCCAUCCUCACAUGAGGCCAGCCUGGGAAGAGGACAGCAGAGCUCACAUCUCUGUGGAGAGGAGGCUGGGCUCAAUGCAGGCCUCUGUGUCUUUGUUCAUCUUCACUUCAUAGGUCUUGUCCUGAGACCCUCCUGCUGACACACCAUGGUUGCAUGGCUCUCCCAGGAAAGAACCUAUGAUGUUCAAGAUGGAGAAAAUCAUUAGGCACUGCCAACCCCACACCCCCAUGCUUUGCUCAGCACACAUGCACGCAUUACUCAUGUACACACACGUAUAUGUGUGCAUAAACAUGCGCACAUACACACAUGUAUACACGUGAACAUGCAUGCAGUUUAUGUGGCC